rfam:Candidatus Aminicenantes bacterium 4484_214 ex4484_214_scaffold_69, whole genome shotgun sequence.
GGGGGCGAAAAGGGUUCGACGGAGGCAAUGAGAUAGAGGCUGCAUGCCGAGGUCCCACCUACCUCGUAAAACUGGUGGAACCAAAGAAGUGCAGAAACUCUGCCUGUUGCUGCCUAAUUGAAGGCAUGCCGUCUCUCCUGGGUUUUCCUGCGACCCUUGAGAGGCGCCGGUAAGCAGGAUAGCAACUCGGGUUUGCCUUGAGCCUGGGAAGCGAAACCUAAUCAAGGCUGGCGGUUCGGUGCCUUUCCUCUUCGGGAGCUGAAUCGUGAAAAUAAAGAAGAGGAUAAGCAUGUAGAGGCCUCGUGUCGAAGGCCUUCGGACGCGGGUUCGAUUCCCGCCGCCUCCAUUU